GGAUUCUCCAGUAACGGCGAGUGAACGGGGAUUAGCCCAUCACCGAAGCCCGUGUGCUUUUGCAUGCAGGGCAAUGUGGUGUUAAGGCUUUUACCUGGGACUGUGAACCCACCAAGAAGUCCAGCUCCGAUCUUGGCUUGCAUAGUACUCAAGCGGGUGAGAGGCCCGUGAUGGUGGUAUUACUAUAUCGCAGUCUAGAUGUGCAUGCUCGGACGAGUCGGAUUGCUUGAGAAUGCAGUCCAAAGUGGGUGGUAAACUCCAUCCAAGGCUAAAUACUGGCAUGAGUCCGAUAGUAGACAAGUACCGUGAGGGAAAGUUGAAAAGUACUCUGAAGAGAGAGUAAAUAGUACGUGAAGCCGAUUGCAGGGAAGCUGGUGGAGUCAAGCUUCAUGCUUGAGGGGUUGCUGUCAUGAGUAAUGUGUGUAUUGUGCACUCUGGAUAGUCAGCUUGGAAUAAGUUGGGCGCAUUCGUGUGCUUCAAGUCAUUCUGGGCUGUGUGUUUGAAGCUGUUCAUUGUGUGUUCUGCUCUAAGUAAUCUAUCCCUCGCUGCAUAAAUCACAGUCGAUAUUGGAGUGCUGCAUGAUUGUCUAACUGUAUCGUGAUGGGCCUUGUGCUUGCCUGGUGCAGAUAGGCAGGUUUAAUCUAUGGCCUUGUCAUUGUGUUUACAAAGAUUUGGUCGACUCUAAUGCUGUGUCUCAGAUAUCGUGAUCGCUUGGUGUCUCGUCUACGGACCUGGCAUUAGCUAGAACUGUGAUUCUGAGGUAGA
rnacentral:rRNA from 1 species